rnacentral:rRNA from 1 species
CCUACGGGCGACAGCAGUGAGGAAUAUUGGUCAAUGGCCGCAAGCCUGAACCAGCCAAGUAGCGUGAAGGAUGACUGCCCUAUGGGUUGUAAACUUCUUUUAUACGGGAAUAAAGUUGUCCACGUGUGCCUUUUUGCAUGUACCUUAUGAAUAAGGACCGGCUAAAUCCGUGCCAGCAGCCGCGGUAAUACGGAGGGUCCGGGCGUUAUCCGGAUUUAUUGGUUUUAAAGGGAGCGUAGGUGGGUUGUUAAGUCAGUUGUGAAAGUUUGUGGCUCAACCAUGAAAUUGCAGUUCAAACUGGCAGUCUGGAGUGCAGGGGAGGUAGGCGGAAUUCGUGGUGUAGCGGUGAAAUGCUUAGAUAUCACGAAGAACUCCGAUUGCGAAGGCAGCUUACUGAAGUGUGACUGAGACUGAAGCUCGAAAGCGUGGGUAUCAAACAGGAUUAGAUACCCUAGUAGUC